GUCACAAACACAAACCCCAGCCCUGCUCUCACCCUGUCACUGGGGGAAUGGGCUGCCCAUGGUACGGCCUCAGGGUGGUGGGCAACGAAAUCAUGCUGCCAGGCUUUGAGUUUGCUCUUGAUGCUGUGAAAACACCGAGCCAGGAAGAGUUAAUGCAGUUAAAGAUCUUAAAUAACACAGAUUGUCCUGGGUUUGGAAAGCUUUUGGGAGGUGGAAGCUAAUAAACAUUGCAUCAAUUCUCUCUUUUGGGUUGGGAUGGUGAUUGUGUGUUUGUGUUUCGGUUGACUGUGUGUGUGUUAAGUAACUGCUCUGAAGGAAUAAAACUCCAAAGC